rnacentral:lncRNA from 1 species
UUCUUCUGAAAAUCCUUUGUAGCAGAUUCUAUUAGCUUCAGAUUUACCAUGAGCAUGUGAUGCUUAGGCUACGGCAGCCAUCUUGGUACCCUGAGAAGAGUCACCCUAAGAGAAGAUGCCAGCAUUCUAGGAAAAGCAGGGCGGGGAUGGAGAAAAAAUCCAGGGCCUGGAUGACAUUGCUGAGCUGCUGAGUUAACCUAGAACUAUCCUAACUCAAGAUUUCUCUUUAUAAGAAUCUCUCUUGCAGGAGUAACACAGGCAUGUGGAGAAUUUCUCAGAGUAUUUCCGCAGCAACCAACUGGCAUGAAGAAUACUUUGCUGAAACAUGGGGUUCAAAAGCAGCCCACAGCUCUCUUUCAGACCUCUGAAGUCACACCCAGUGGUCUAGUCAACAUUUCCUCUUGCAGAGAUUGUAAAGGUUUCAAUCUUAACACCAUGUGACUAAUUCGGUCUCUAUGAUCAAAGCCUUAUAAGAAAGAAUGACUGGUUGACCCGACAUGGACCAAGUGACCGUUCUUGUUCCCAGUGUGUUGUGGGCUAAGAAGAGAUGGGCACAGAAUGAUGGGAACGCAGAGCGAAAGGGCCCAACUCUACCAGGAGGGGAAGAUAAAAACUCCUGAAGAAAUUAUACAAAAAUAGAAUACUUACAACAGAAUUCUCAACAUCAUUUUUCCCUGUUUGAAUCCAGCAAGUCAGCCAUUGGUCACUUAAGAGCACUAACCCCUCCCUGGUUUGAAGAUGUUCUUGACUUUAAAUACAAACAUCUGAUAUUCCAGCUUAGACUCCUCCACAAGAACUAGAGUGUCAUCCUAUUUUGGCUUCCAGCUCAGUCCCUCUGCUACAAGUCUUGACUCCAGAACUCUGUGGGAUAAUAAAAUACAAGAUCAUAGCUUGAAAAUAGAGCGUGCAUCUGGUGUGGUUUGUUGUUUUGGCUUAAUUAGGACUUGCCGUUUCCUGAAUUCCUGUAAUCUCAUUUGAUGAAUUGUGUUGGUUACUUGCUCUGCAGGCUUUGAGCAUGUGGCACAUAUCAGAGGAAAUGAUUUCCCCUUUCUUCUUUGAAAAUCAUCUUCUGGUGCAUUAAAAAAAGAAAGCCAAUGUUUUUGGAUUUCUUUAGCUGUCCAUAGAAUUAC